rnacentral:rRNA from 1 species
AGAGUUUGAUCCUGGCUCAGGAUGAACGCUAGCGACAGGCUUAACACAUGCAAGUCGAGGGGCAGCGGGGAGUAGCAAUACUUCGCCGGCGACCGGCGCACGGGUGAGUAACACGUGUGCAACCAACCCCGUACCGGGAGAUAACCCGCGGAAACGUGGACUAACAUCCCAUGAUACUCGAGGGCCGCAUGGCUCUCGAUUUAAAAUUCCGGUGGUACGGGACGGGCACGCGCGACAUUAGGUAGUUGGCGGGGUAACGGCCCACCAAGCCGACGAUGUCUAGGGGUUCUGAGAGGAAGGUCCCCCACACUGGAACUGAGACACGGUCCAGACUCCUACGGGAGGCAGCAGUGAGGAAUAUUGGUCAAUGGGCGAGAGCCUGAACCAGCCAAGUCGCGUGAGGGAAGAAUGGUCUAUGGCCUGUAAACCUCUUUUGUCAGGGAAGAAUAAGGAUGACGAGUCAUUCGAUGCCAGUACUUGACGAAUAAGCAUCGGCUAACUCCGUGCCAGCAGCCGCGGUAAUACGGGGGAUGCGAGCGUUAUCCGGAUUUAUUGGGUUUAAAGGGCGCGUAGGCGGGACGUCAAGUCAGCGGUAAAAGACUGCAGCUAAACUGUAGCACGCCGUUGAAACUGGCGCCCUGGAGACGAGACGAGGGAGGCGGAACAAGUGAAGUAGCGGUGAAAUGCAUAGAUAUCACUUGGAACCCCGAUAGCGAAGGCAGCUUCCCAGGCUCGUUCUGACGCUGAUGCGCGAGAGCGUGGGUAGCGAACAGGAUUAGAUACCCUGGUAGUCCACGCCGUAAACGAUGCUCACUGGAUCUUGGCGAUACACUGCCAGGGUUCAAGCGAAAGUAUUAAGUGAGCCACCUGGGGAGUACGUCGGCAACGAUGAAACUCAAAGGAAUUGACGGGGGCCCGCACAAGCGGAGGAACAUGUGGUUUAAUUCGAUGAUACGCGAGGAACC